CCUACGGGUGGCUGCAGUGGGGAAUAUUGGACAAAGGGGGCAACCCUGAUCCAGCCAUGCCGCGUGUGUGAAGAAGGCCCUCGGGUUGUAAAGCACUUUCAGUGAGGAAGAACGCCUGGUGGUUAAUACCCAUCAGGAAAGACAUCACUCACAGAAGAAGCACCGGCUAACUCCGUGCCAGCAGCCGCGGUAAUACGGAGGGUGCGAGCGUUAAUCGGAAUUACUGGGCGUAAAGCGCGCGUAGGUGGCUUGAUAAGCCGGUUGUGAAAGCCCCGGGCUCAACCUGGGAACGGCAUCCGGAACUGUCAAGCUAGAGUGCAGGAGAGGAAGGUAGAAUUCCCGGUGUAGCGGUGAAAUGCGUAGAGAUCGGGAGGAAUACCAGUGGCGAAGGCGGCCUUCUGGACUGACACUGACACUGAGGUGCGAAAGCGUGGGUAGCAAACAGGAUUAGAUACCCGAGUAGUC
rnacentral:rRNA from 1 species